GAUUUUAUUUUGUGCAGUGUCGCGGACCCUCCGAAAUCUACUGGGAAUGAUGAAUACCUCGCACAGUACCAAUGUGAUGACGGUGGAGACAAGGAGAAACCAAGAAGAUCAAAAGAACGUGACCUCAUUUCAAAAGAAAACGUUUUGUACGGCAAAGAGUCUUCUGAGCCUGACUUCACGAUUUGUGUUUCUGUGCGCUCCACUUUGACAAUGCCAAUCACAAGCGUAAAAAAAGAAGAAAAAGGAGAAGAAAAAGAAAAAAAAGAGAAACAGCAGGAAAGUGAAAGGCUCCUUGGAACACUUAGAUCCUCGUUUCCAGAAGAUAACGCGGGAGAAGAAGGAAGAAUCCCGUCCUCCAGAUGGCUCUUCAUGUGAGCAAUGCAGAAGUGAGAGCAGUAAACAACCUUACAAGGAAGGGAAGCCUUCCAGUGCAGGCGAAAGCAAGAAAUACAGCUCCGUCUCAUCCAACGAGUGUAUUAAAGUGUCGCGGACCCUCCGAAAUCUACUGGGAAUGAUGAAUACCUCGCACAGUACCAAUGUGAUGACGGUGGAGACAAGGAGAAACCAAGAAGAUCAAAAGAACGUGACCUCAUUUCAAAAGAAAACGUUUUGUACGGCAAAGAGUCUUCUGAGCCUGAGAGAUGCCAAGGUAGAAAGGACAAGACUAAAAACACUGAGAAAGAGCAUUACCAAAGCAAGAGGGAACAUGCUCCUAGUGAAGAGAAGGAGAGUCAAAAAGCAGGUCCUUCCAGCAAGAGGAGGUGUUCUCGAGCGUGGAAGUUGUUGAGCAAAAGCGUCACAAGCAGGAGCGCUGGGAGGGAAGCAGGUGCAGAUCUUUCCCUGGUGAAAGAAACAGCCCUGAGAAUGGCAGAAGAGCAGUCAAAUAUUCAAGGUACAGAUCUGGCAGCGGAGGAAGAUCAGAACAAGGUAGCAAUAGAUAUUAGCGAUCCAAAGGGGAAAGAAGUUGGAGCAGAGAAAGAUACUAUCGAGAUGAAGCACGGAGAUGGGAAAGAUGUAGCUAUUACGAUGAUUACUAUUCACCUCAUGCGACAGGAGACAGUAGAGAGAGAAAGUCCUCUCACGGCGAUGCAGCCUUUGACAAAUGGACUGCAACUUACUACGGCAGGUCACAUAAGCAUUAUCAUUACAAAAGUGGAUGGCCUCACGGUUCCCGCUUGAGAGAUGAAGAUGUAUGUCGCUUUAGCACACCCCGAGCAGACUUGCAUCGUUGCUCGGUAUCUCAGCAACAUUCUGGAAGACAUUCUCGUGAAAGACAUACGCUUCCACCUGUGUCAGCUCAUUUGGAGAACCGUCGCCAGAAAAAUGAAACAGAAGAAAACAGAAAAAGAAAAUACACCCGUGCAGAAGGUAGUGAAAGUGAAAUAGAAAGGAAAGACAGAAAGAUAGAAAAGGAGCUUUUAGGUGGUGAAAAAAAUGCAAAAAUAUCACAAGUUCUAGAAGAAAAAGAAGUCUAAGGAUAAACAUGGAGAGAAGGAUUCCAAACUUCACGAUUUGUGUUUCUGUGCGCUCCACUUUGACAAUGCCAAUCACAAGCGUAAAAAAAGAAGAAAAAGGAGAAGAAAAAGAAAAAAAAGAGAAACAGCAGGAAAGUGAAAGGCUCCUUGGAACACUUAGAUCCUCGUUUCCAGAAGAUAACGCGGGAGAAGAAGGAAGAAUCCCGUCCUCCAGAUGGCUCUUCAUGUGAGCAAUGCAGAAGUGAGAGCAGUAAACAACCUUACAAGGAAGGGAAGCCUUCCAGUGCAGGCGAAAGCAAGAAAUACAGCUCCGUCUCAUCCAACGAGUGUAUUAAAGUGUCGCGGACCCUCC